rnacentral:tRNA from 1 species
UAGGGUGUAACUCAGUGGCAGAGUGCGUGCUUAGCAUGCGUGAGGCCCCGGGUUCCAUCCCCAGCACCAAAG